CUGAGGAUCGCAACCCACAGGUUGAGAACUGCCACCCUAAAGGAUGGCUCUUAUUAUUGCUUUAAUUCUGUAUUACCUUCACUCCUAAUAAGAUGGUUCCCAGUAACAGUUUUCUUAUUCCUGGGCUCCUAGAACAGUCCUUUCCCAUCAGGCUACUGGUUACAUCUUGAGGAUGUUAUAACGGUGGGAGACCAUUUCCACUGCUGUUUCAUCUAGACUGCCCUCCUUUGUUUUCUGACUUCGGCAACAUCAACUCCUUGUUAUCCUUCCAACAUGGUGGCAUGCUCUUGCCUCAAGACUUUUAACUUGAGUAACUAUGAAGCAAUGUGACUGACAGAUGGAAGUGUGUGCAUUAUUAUACAUGGAAGAAGGAAAUUGGUUCCAAGGAUACACAGGGAAACAAAGAGUCAAGAAUUCUGUCUCCAGAUCUGGUAAACAUAUCCUGUAGCAUGCGCACCUCAACUGGUCAACCAUCUGCUAUGAGAAUGGCUAGAACCCGUGACCUGCUCCCAAGCGAAGAUAAUAAAGUGUAUACCUAAUCCCAUCUGAGAUACAGAGCCUCAUGGUCUAAACAACCAUUGUUGGGUUAUUUGGAGCACAACCUUAUACAGGAAAGGGUAGAGUGUGGCUCUGUGAAUCCGUACACUCGUACUAUGAGAAACAGAAACAAGAGGAUCACUGGAGCUUGCUGGAUGCUACCUCAUCUUCAAACUCAGGAGACCAACCCUGUCUCAGAGUAAUAAGUACUGCUAUUUGCUGUCAUCGAAGAGGAAUGUGUAUCAUCAUAGGGUCCCUACGCUGUUAUAGAAGCUCCCACUGCUCAGCAAGUGCAUCUGGGUGAGCACACACCUUCAGUCUGCCUGGCAUGUCAGUAUAGAAGAGCUAACUGAAGCGGAAAAUAUUCAAGUUCAGCUAUAACCCAAGUCUCCUCACCAUUCUUUGAAGCCAGAAGCAAAUGAAGGGCUCAACCUUUCAAGAACAAGCGUUUCCAGGCAUGACAGCACAUGCCUGUAAUUAUUGUACAUGGAAGAAGAGAUAAGAAGUCCCAGAGUUCAAAGCCAUCCUUGGUUACAUAAUGAGGUUGAAAUCAGCCGGUACUCGUGAGAUAACACCUUAACAAACAAAGACAAUAAGCUGUGUUGCCAAUGCCUUCUCAUUCCCAGAGUGUUCCAAUUCAAACAGCAUAUAACCCAAAAGCUGGAGCCUUUAUGCCAGAUCAACAGAUGUUUAAUGCUUGCUUCAAAACAGUGUCAAUCCCAAAUGGCAUUUUGUCAUGCAUUUUGCCUCAAGGUGCUUGCAUUCUAUGAUAGAGUCCUCUGCCUCUUCCAGUUGCCUCCAGAUCAGGGAAAUCAGAUUCUCUGCUAGUUUCUCCUAAAAGGGAAUGUAAAUGGCCAACUUCCUUUGUGUAGCAGGUUCUGAAUAAAUGAUACCGCUUCUCACUUGGA